CGCUUCUUUCCAAGAACUCGUCCGCGUGCAGCGUUCUAGCUGAAGGCGAAGAUGGACUUGAGAUGGAUUACCAAGAAUAUCAUUCUAGACGAGGACGUAUGAGCGAUCAUGCGAGCACGGACCGUCCUACGGUGCACAGGCCUUUCCCUUUGAUUCGAAUAGCUACGGAGUUACGGAACCAAUAACCGAGGGCUUGGAUGCACAGCUGGUUGCUCGCAUGCAUAGGGUAAUUCCAGUUGUGUACUGAAGCUUGCACAGAGGGCUAUUUAACUAUUGCAUUGGAAAUUGAUUUAGUAAUACACAAACUGAAUGAUAAAUCAAAGGAUAUCUCAGUAGAUGCACUGUUCGAGUUGUUGCAGGAAAAUUUGGUAAAGUUAAUUUGUGGUGCUUGGCAGUUUUAGUGACAAACAAAGUUGGCCGCCUCUCCUCGACUAACC